AGUCACUAGGCCCAAAGGCGUCUGCCAACCCUCUCCUUUUGACCAAGCCUCCAGCUUGAAAAGGAGCCGUGUCAGUGUAGAGGUACACAGAGAAAACCUCCUCCUCUGGAGGUGGGGGUUCUCCCACUGGACCCUGGGAAAGUAGACACCCCUGUCCGCUGGCCAGGGAGAUUAAAAUUCCCUUAGUGGAUUUCAGGGAGCCACAAAGGUUAGUCACAGCCACCACUGAGCUCUAUGGCAGGUCCUGUGACCUGCCCCUCAGUCUUCCUGUUGCAGCCAGCUCUGACACACCUGUGACAGUGCUGCCUGCACACACACACACAGCUCCAGUAAAUAAGGCUUUUGUGCCACUGCGCCUCAGGCUGGAGGUACCCUGUGGGAAGUCAGAGCAAGGGUGAACAACCAGCCUUUUGUUUCUUAGCUUUUCCUGCCCCUGGUUCUCUGCUGGAGGGAAGAGAGAACGAGAGCCGGAAAGAGACUUCAUCUCCUGGGCCCCAUCUCAACAUGUUCUCUCCCCAACCCUGACCUGGGGCUCGUAGGGAGCCACUGCCCUCGCUCAGGGAAGUCCGCAUCUGGAAAUAGCAGCAGCCCAGACUAGUGAAUCCCAAGAUCAUCCCGUGGGAGUGGGAAGCAGCCAGGCAUGCAAUGGGGUCUUCUCCAGGGAGCUGCAGAGCCUGCACACAUGCCAGCAGCGCAGGGACUGAAGGAGUGCAUCUGAAACAACUGCAUCCUGGGACAGUAUAUAUGGACAUUCUCCUGCGAUCACCUAAGUGCUGCAGGAUGCUUGCAAGCUUGGUGCGCAAGCCUCUGUACAACUGUCAUCCACACAGGAAAGUCCAAUCCGACGCCCUCAUCCUGAAAGGUACCUGUCGCCUGCAGCAGGCCUGCCGCUGAGGUGGGGGAUCCCUUCGUGGCCAGGCUGCCUCCCAGCAGCCUGGACAGCUCCUGCCCUUGGAUCUAGGUUCCCGCAGCAGCAAGGACUUAGUGGCUUCUACUGGGAAUCCAGGGGGUCAUUCCUCAAUAACAGAAGCACGUUAAUUGUCAUAAACGCUCAAUCAGUAAAAUGCUCAACUUACAAAAGCGUGGAGAGUUUGGUCCCCAGCACACAUAUAGAAAGAGUGUAUGGUGGGCAGUCCUCCUCAUCCCAGGGGCGGGAUGGAGGCAGACAAAUCCCUGAGGCUAACUGGCCAGCCUGCCUCGCCUCUCUUAAUAACUCUGUCAAAAUACAAGGCGGGGCCGAGAGGUGGCUCAGCAGGUAAAGGUGUUUGCUACAGGACUGGCGACCCAGCUCCAUCCCCAGGUCCCACAGGUGAAAGCUGAGGACCAGCUCUUGAAAGUUGACCUCUGACCUAUAUACACACACAAUCCAUCCAUCAACAAGUGUAAAAAAAAAUGUUGAAAAAGCAAGGUGGACCAGUCCUGAAGAGAGCUGAAGCUGACCUCUGACCUCCAUACACACACUCCAUCUGCACACACACACACAGCGAGCAGGAAACACAGCCUUGUCUAGGAAGGUCUUCACUGUGUGUGGGUCUGUGCACAUGUACAUAUUGUAUACAUGUGGAGGUCAUAGGUGGAUCGUGUGUUUCCCUUGAUUGCUUUCCAGGACAGGGUUUGUUGUUGUUUUGUUUUUUUGACAGGGUUUCUCACCACAGAACUUGGGGUUUCCAGUUUGGCUUGGCUGGCUGGUCAGUGAGUUUGUGGGAUCCACGGCCUCCCAGGUGCUAGGACUAGAGAUGCCCAUGGUUGGGCCUUGCUUUUACAUGGGUCUGAACUCUGGCCCUCAUGCUGAUAUAACAAGAAUUUUACCCAAAAAGUUAUUUCCCUAGCUCCCUUUUACAUUUUACCUAUAUGCGGUGUACGUGUGUGUGUGUGUAUGUGUGUGUGUGCAUGUGUGUGUCUGUUAGUGUGUUCUGUGCAUUUGUAAGUCAGAGAGAGAAGUUGAUGUCUUCCUGUAUUACUUCCCUACUUCA